rnacentral:lncRNA from 1 species
GCCACACCGCAGGGAGCUGCCCAGGGAGGAAGGGAAGGGGUCAGGUUGUUAGCCUGGCCACUCCUAUGCAGCCCAGGAGCUCUGAUAUAGAGCUUGGGAAGUGGGUUCACAGGAGUCAACACCCCUUUGUCCCCUCCCAGGCAUGGGCAGUUGUGCCCCUUCUGUCCACUACCCAUUACCUAAUUCAGGUCUCAUGGCAGCUUCUCUCCUUGCAAGCCUUCCAUCCAUCCCGCCCCUUACAAGUCUGAAGAUUUUCAUAAACCCCCAAUCUGACCAGGCCACAGCCCUGCUUAAACCCUUCUUGGCUCCACGCGGUCCUUAAGAUACAUUCCAGACAGACCAUGGCACCGCCAUCGGACCCAGCCGUCCCCUCUGGACCCUUCAGUUGUGUACAUCAGGCCACACACUUGUUUACCCGGGACCUUGGCUGAUCCAGGUCACUCUACCUGGUAUGCCCUUCCCCAUCCUUACUGUCUGGCAAACUUCCCUUUGCCUGUGGAUGCUUGAUUGGAACAGCAGCCCCUCCGUAGACAGGCGGGCUUCUGCUGGCUGAGUUGGGCAUUGCCUCCGAGCCCAGCACCCCCCAACCUCCACCAUGCUCCCCGAUGCUGCCCAGUCUCACAAUUGUUCCGGAGUCC